rnacentral:rRNA from 1 species
GGAUGAACGCUAGCUACAGGCUUAACACAUGCAAGUCGAGGGGCAGCAUUUCAGUUUGCUUGCAAACUGGAGAUGGCGACCGGCGCACGGGUGAGUAACACGUAUCCAACCUGCCGAUAACUCGGGGAUAGCCUUUCGAAAGAAAGAUUAAUACCCGAUGGUAUAAUCAGACCGCAUGGUCUUGUUAUUAAAGAAUUUCGGUUAUCGAUGGGGAUGCGUUCCAUUAGGCAGUUGGUGAGGUAACGGCUCACCAAACCUUCGAUGGAUAGGGGUUCUGAGAGGAAGGUCCCCCACAUUGGAACUGAGACACGGUCCAAACUCCUACGGGAGGCAGCAGUGAGGAAUAUUGGUCAAUGGGCGCAGGCCUGAACCAGCCAAGUAGCGUGAAGGAUGACUGCCCUAUGGGUUGUAAACUUCUUUUAUAUGGGAAUAAAGUUUUCCACGUGUGGAAUUUUGUAUGUACCAUAUGAAUAAGGAUCGGCUAACUCCGUGCCAGCAGCCGCGGUAAUACGGAGGAUCCGAGCGUUAUCCGGAUUUAUUGGGUUUAAAGGGAGCGUAGGUGGACAGUUAAGUCAGUUGUGAAAGUUUGCGGCUCAACCGUAAAAUUGCAGUUGAUACUGGCUGUCUUGAGUACAGUAGAGGUGGGCGGAAUUCGUGGUGUAGCGGUGAAAUGCUUAGAUAUCACGAAGAACUCCGAUUGCGAAGGCAGCUCACUGGACUGCAACUGACACUGAUGCUCGAAAGUGUGGGUAUCAAACAGGAUUAGAUACCCUGGUAGUCCACACAGUAAACGAUGAAUACUCGCUGUUUGCGAUAUACAGUAAGCGGCCAAGCGAAAGCAUUAAGUAUUCCACCUGGGGAGUACGCCGGCAACGGUGAAACUCAAAGGAAUUGACGGGGGCCCGCACAAGCGGAGGAACAUGUGGUUUAAUUCGAUGAUACGCGAGGAACCUUACCCGGGCUUAAAUUGCAUUUGAAUAUAUUGGAAACAGUAUAGCCGUAAGGCAAAUGUGAAGGUGCUGCAUGGUUGUCGUCAGCUCGUGCCGUGAGGUGUCGGCUUAAGUGCCAUAACGAGCGCAACCCUUAUCUUUAGUUACUAACAGGUCAUGCUGAGGACUCUAGAGAGACUGCCGUCGUAAGAUGUGAGGAAGGUGGGGAUGACGUCAAAUCAGCACGGCCCUUACGUCCGGGGCUACACACGUGUUACAAUGGGGGGUACAGAAGGCAGCUACCUGGUGACAGGAUGCUAAUCCCAAAAGCCUCUCUCAGUUCGGAUCGAAGUCUGCAACCCGACUUCGUGAAGCUGGAUUCGCUAGUAAUCGCGCAUCAGCCAUGGCGCGGUGAAUACGUUCCCGGGCCUUGUACACACCGCCCGUCAAGCCAUGAAAGCCGGGGGUACCUGAAGUACGUAACCGCAAGGAGCGUCCUAGGGUAAAACUGGUAAUUGGGGCUAA